rnacentral:rRNA from 1 species
GAUGGAUACUAGAUGUAGGAACAUUAGUUUCUGCGUCGCAGCUAACGCUUUAAGUAUCCCACCUGGGGAGUACGGCCGCAAGGUUGAAACUCAAAGAAAUUGGCGGGGACCCGCACAAGCAGCGGAGCAUGUGGUUUAAUUCGAAGCAACGCGAAGAACCUUACCAAGACUUGACAUCGUAUGCUAUCUAUAGAAAUAUAGAGUUUCUCUUCGGAGAACGUAUAGACAGGUGGUGCAUGGCUGUCGUCAG